CCUGUAUAAGGUGUACAUCAAUGAACCACAUAAGCAAGUUGAGCCACAACAGUCAGGCAAAGCAAGAACAUCAGAGGAUAAAAUGAAACUCAAAGAUUGCCAUGAGCGCUUUAACAGAGCACAAAUUAAAACGAAAAAGACUGCCAUAGAGCAAUCACAAGAAUAUUUCAUGCCCUCAUCACCUGUGAAGACCACAUCCUCGUCCUCUUCUCCUGUGCAGCCCUCAUCACCUGUGAUGACCACAUCAUCGUCCUCUUCUC